rnacentral:tmRNA from 1 species
CCCCUUUGCAUCUGCAACCGGGACGCCUAUAUUAGUUCUGUCCCCUCGGGGACUAUGGACAUAAACGCGCUCGUAAUAAGCGGAUCGGACCCGGGGGCGGUACCCGGCGACUCCACCAACAUCCCUUCAUUUGGGGGACAGCGGGGUCGAAAUAGGAUCGACGAACGUCUAAAGGGGUUAUGCUUUGUCUCGGCGGGGUGCCACCGUAUCGGCCCGAACAGUACAAUUGCAAAUGACAAUCGUGCUCCAGUAGCGAUGGCCGCGUAAGCGGUCGGAGAGACUGAAACUUAAGCCCUUGCGCCUAGCCGCGUAAGGCGGGGUUCGCAGGCACCUGGCAACAGAAGCCUGCACU